UUUUUUUUUCUUUUUUUUUUUUGGUGGUCUUUCUAUCUCUGGCUCUUCAAAGAUUCUAUAUUUUUACAGUAGCCUCUCAAAAAUCAGUAUAAUAAAUUGUAGUCCAAAGAACUUAUUUGGUUAGCUUAAAGAAUAUACGUACACAAACAAAAUGAUUUGCAAAUUAAUGCAUAAGUUAAAGGUUCAAAGACUUGCUUCCUUGCCGACUACUGCUUGCUUAGGAAUGAUAACAGGUGGAAAUGGAAUAUAAGCUAUUAUUAAGAAAUUGUUUUUGCUUGGUUUUCACUUUUGUGUAGGUCAAGUUCUUGUGGCUUGCUUAAUCUCCAGAGCUAGCUGGCUGGUCGGCGCAUUUCAUCAGUCUCAUCAGUAUAAAUCUAUUGAUCAAAUCUCAAUUUGUCUUUGCUAAUUUUUCUUUUCCUAACCUAAGAAGUCUGGGUGUAAAUACACAAAUUUCGUUAACUUCAGAUUACAAUUUCUUUGACAUUUUGUUUAGGUAAAUGCAGCUCAAUGUACAUAUAUAUGCCGACUUGAAAAUCACUGUAAUAUUUACAAUGGUAAAUUACAUAUAACUCCCAUGUGGUUUCAUCUAUUACCACAUGACCCUCCUAACGUUUCAAAAUGUCCAUUUCAUACCCCUAUGGUUUUAUAUAAAGUGAAAAUUUGACAACAAACAACCUAUAUAACGUCGUUAGUUGAAAUAUCAAUAGUGCCCUAAUUAAUUAAAUGCUAAAUCAAUUGAUGGCUUAACCACUAUGUAUAAAAGCAUAGGAAAAUUAUGUGAAUAAAUGCAAAAAUCAUAUGUGAUAAAGUGGAUAUUUAUACAAAUCAUAAGGAGAUUACAUGGAUAAUAAAAUUUUAUCACAUGUGCUUUUAAAGCACAUUUGGUAUAAAUGCCACAAGUGAUUGUGCAUUUCGUCCAUUUUCCACUUUAUAUAAAACUAUAGGGGGUUUACGUGGAUAUUUUAAAACCUUAGGAGGGUCAUAUAGCAUUAUGUAAAACCAUAGAGGGUAAUAAGUAAUUUACCCUAUUUACAAUUGUUCUACUCCGUCUUGUAAUUUAAUAUUAGAUAUUGUCAUUUCCACGAUUCCAUCUUCAAGAAAUACAGCCAAUUCAUAUAGGGAAAAUAAAUCUAUCUCUGCACUUGCUGUUACUUACAUGUGCCUUAGCAGAACGUGUCUUUGGCAAACAAACAAUCUGCUUUGCCGGCCUAAAUAAUUUUUAGUUUGUCAUUUUCACAGCUUCUCUUUGUUUGUGAGCUGUUAGCGAGUCUUGUUUAUGUGAUUUUGUCUUUCAAAGAAGGCUCAUGUCAUAUAAUAAACUGAGGUUUUUCUGCAUAUGCUUGGCACAUGCAAGUCUACUCAUAGAACAUUAAGCACUGAUCAUUUUCAUGUCUUAAUUAAAUUUCUUAAUCUAAUAGACAAAGGAAGACAAAGUGGCUGUGGCUGUGGCUAGGUUCAUCUUCAACUUUCAAGAUGGAUAACAAUAGCAUAUUGGUCAUUUUGCCUGUGCACUGAAGAAAUUAAAUAAAUAAAAAAAAAAGCUUCAUCCCAACACUAUUAGCCUUUCAAAGCACUGCUCUAAUUCUCCCCUACUGUGGACAAGAUCAACAUGAAGAUGAAGACAACACAACUCAUUGCAAUACUGUGGUGGGUCGUGGCGAUGAUGGCCCUGCCAAUAUUGGCUCAUGGCAGCAUUGAUCAAAGUCCUGAAGCCGUUAAAAAUUGGUUCAAAGAGCUUCGACAUGCAAAGGAGAAGUUGACAGAGCUUCACUUCUAUGUUCAUGACAGGGUAACUGCAGAGAGCCCCACAUCUGUGCUAGUUGCUCAAGCCAACGCUACUAGCAAAUCUCCCACGAUGUUCGGGGCAACCUACGUCUUCGAUGACCCGAUGACACUGGGACCUGAGCCCAGUUCCCAGAUCAUCGGUCACGCCCAGGGCAUAUCCAGUUCGGCAUCGAAAGAGGAUGAUGCUUCACAAAUUGCCAUCAUGAACUUGGUAUUCAACGAUGGCAAGUUCAAUGGUAGCACCCUUAGCGUUCUAGGUGAUUAUCCCUUCUUCCAGAAGUACAAGGAGAUGCCAAUAGUAGGUGGUUCUGGGGCUUUUCGAUUGGCCCGUGGAUUGGUUACAGCAAUAAUCUAUGCUUACAAUGAUACCACCCAGAAUGAAAUUAUCGACUUCCACGUCCUCGUUCUGCAUUAUUGACCUUGAUUUGAUGCCAUUUGUUGCUCGUACUUUCUUGUGGUUUUCUUUGUCGUAUAACAAAGAUUUCAUGUUAAGGAUAUAAUCCUUGGAUGAUACAAGAAGUAUUGAAGGUUUUUUUGUUUUUUUGUUUUCACUUCUACAGUUCUGCUUGUUUGGUCUCUUUGUUGAUAAUGUUGAUUUUCAGGUAAUAAAGAAAGCUUUUCCUUCUCUUUCUCCAUUAAAUUUUCCUUUUGGCACUUCUUACUUUUCCUUUUGUUUUAAAAAAAUCUAGUAUUAGUUUUUCUUUUCCCUUUUCUACCUUCAUUGCUUGUUUCAUGCUUCUAAAAGCUUAUUUUCCUUAAUAUUUUCUUAUUUCGUUUUCUUUCCUAAACGCAAUGAUAGUAAGGCGCUUAAUUGGGAUUUUUUUUUAAUCUAAUUUCUCUAUCAAGAUUUCCUAUCUAAUUUCAUACUAAGGGUGCAUUUGAUAAAACUGAAGUUUGAAAUCUAAAAUGUGAAGUUUGAAAUCUAAAAUGUGAAGUUUGAAUCCAUUAAGUUAUUGAAUUGUUAAGUAUUAAAUUUAAUACAUUUGAGUGCAUAUCACAUUCAAUGAUAAGUGAAUAGUUUAUCACUUAAUUUUAAGAGCAAGUUUUGCCUAAGAAAUUCAGUGUCAUUUAAUUUAGUUCAGAUGUUCAAUUUUUUAUUAUCAAAUGGUGUAAAUAUAUUAAUAUCUGAAUCCAUUAACUUUAAGCACUGAAUUGAAUUAGGAAACAGGGUCUAAGUCAUUAGUUUUUCAUUUCUCUUUUUUUUUUUCAAAACGGCAACUCAUCAUUCAUUAAACUAAACCAGAGUACAAUCUUUGGAGCAACUGCUCCAACAAUCUGCCUGAACCAAAUCAAGCAACCACGCUGGGAAGUCAAACUUCCAUUCAGCUGUUUUUUCCAAAUUUAUAGCAAACUUUGCUAUAUGGUGACUAACAGAGUUGCUCUCCCUUCUAGUGAAGGAAAAGCAACAUUCAUAAAAACUGAGCUUCAGCCUUUUAAUAUCUGAAAGCACAGUUGCAAUCUCUACAUCAUCUUCUUCACUAUUUAUCCUAUCAAUAACAUACUUACAAUCAGAUUCGAACUCCACCCUCCUCCACCCUUGUUGUUUGGCCACCAGCAUUGCUGCUCUUAAUGCUAAAGCUUCCUCCAUCUUUGGGGUUGAACAACUUGAGCCCGGCACUGCCCAAGCUCCCACUACUUCCUUCUGCCAGUCCCUUGCCACCAACCCCCAUCCUGCUUUCUCCUUGUCUUGUUGAACUGCUGCAUCAGAAUUUAUUUUCACCCAUGCCUCACCUGGUUCCUGCCAUGCACCUGGUUCCACCUUCCCCUCCCCUCUAACUCUGACUAAAUCUUUUUCCUCCAUCUGCACCUCCUGGAACUCUCUCCAUUCCCCAAUAGCUUUUUGGACCACUCCCAUGGGAUCCCUGGCUUUUGCUUCAAACUGUCUCGCAUUCCUUGACUUCCAUAUCUGCCAUAACAAGUUCACAGUCACACCAAUACGCUCCUGCCCCAUCUUCCCCUUCACUGCAUCCUUCAGCUCCUCCCACCAAUGCCAGAAUUUAUACCUAUAUGUCUCCAGCCCCUCCCAACUAACUGGCGCCACUUCCCAGAUGGCCUUUGCAUGGUCACAAAAAAACAGCAAGUGCUCUAAAGUCUCUGUAUGUUCCCCACAACACCUGCACAUAUGAUCCCCCUUGGAGCACCUUGCCUUUACAGUUGCGUUCACUGGCAGGAUAUCUUGUAGACACUUCCAAAGGAAGUGUUUCAGCUUCUGUUUUAUAUUCAACCCCCAAAGAAAGCUCCAACUCUGAGCUGAGCAUCUCCUGUUACUGCUAGAUUCAACAUUCCUCCCAACAGGAGCCCUUCUCUUUUUAAUGCAUUUAGCCAGUUUAUAACCUGACUUAACUGUAUAUUCCCCCGUAUUUGACUUUCUCCAGUAUAACCUAUCUUUCAUACUACAUACACUUAAAGGUAUUCUCAGUAUCUCCUUCCCUUCCUUCUCAUCAAAAACCUGUGCAAUCAGUUCCCUAUCCCACUUGCCAUUAUUUAUAAGAUCACUCACCCUCUGAACAACCACCUCCUCAGUUCUUGGAGUCUUCACUCUCCCAUCCUCUGUGUCUGGUAACCAUCUAUCUUCCCAAAUAUCAAUUGACUUGCCAUCCCCCACCCGUUUCCUGACCCCCUCCUCCAACAGUUCCCUCGCCCUCAAUAAACUUCUCCAGUACCAGGAAUCAGUACCAUGGCCUUGCAUUGCCCAAAUUGAAGUCCCUCUAAAAUACCUUGCCCUCAUGACCUUACUCAUCAGCAAAUUUGGCUUAGUUAAGAUCCUCCAGAGCUGCUUUGCCAGCAAAGCCAGAUUGAACUCCUGCAACUCCCUAAAGCCUAAACCCCCCUCACCCUUCCCCUCAGCCAACUUCCCCCAGUUCAACCAGUGAAUUCUCUGCUCCUUCUCCUUUGAACCCCACCAGAACUUUGCCAUUUCAGAACUAAUCCUCCUACACAAGUCCAUAGGUAUCAAACAGCAGGACAUCACAUAAAUGGGCAAGGCCAUGAGAACUGACUUGAUCAACACCUCUUUACCAGCCUGGCUCAACAAUUUCUCCUUCCAUCCCUUCAACCUCGCUAUUGUUUUCUGACAGAUAUACUCAAAAGUCUGUCUUUUGGAUCUCCCAAUGACUAAAGGUAGCCCCAAAUACCUACUUUGUUCAACCUGCUUCAUCCCUUGCAGUUCUCUCAUCACCCCUUCCUUAUGUCUACUCAUCACAUUCCUGCUAAAAAAUAGAGAAGAUUUCUCAAUAUUGAUCAGCUGUCCAGAGGCUUUUCUGUAUACCUCUAAGAUUCUCCUUAGCUGCUCAGCCUCCAAAACAGAUGCUCUACAGAAAAUCAGAGAGUCAUCUGCAAAAAACAAGUGAGACAGCCUAGGAGCCUUCCUUGCAAUCUUUAACCCAGACAGCUUGCCCUGCACCACAGCUUGAUUCAACAAUGAUGAGAAACCUUCAGCACAUAUCAGAAAUAGAUAAGGAGACAAAGGAUCUCCCUGCCUCAAACCUCUUGUUGGCCUAAUGAAACCUCUUUUCUGACCAUUAAAGUUUAUAGCAUAAGUAACACUAGAAACACACUGCAUCACCCACUGAAUCCACUUAGGACAGAAACCCAUUUUCCCCAUAACUUUUGCCAGAAAAGUCCACUCUACUCUAUCAUAGGCCUUUGACAUAUCAAGCUUAACAGCCAUAAAGCCUUCCCUCCCAGAUCUUUUGUUUUUUAGGAAAUGAAUGUACUCAUGAGCAAUCAGGACAUUAUCCAGGAUCUGCCUACCAGGGACAAAAGCAGACUGUGCCUUACUAAUACAAAGAUUCAGAACCAACUUUAAUCUAUUGGUGAUCACCUUGGCAAUUAUUUUGUACAACACAUUACACAGGCUUAUAGGUCUGAGAUCUGCCAUAGUGCUAGGGGGAACAGAUUUGGGGAUAAGACUAAUCAGAGUCUCAUUAAUGGACUUAAGAAUGAAACCAGAAGCAAAGAAACUAUUGACAGCAUUACAGAUAUCAGUUUUUAAGAUUGACCAAAACUUUUGAAAGAAAAUUGGGGACAUACCAUCUGGUCCAGGGGACUUAUUUGGAUGCAUCGAAAACACAGCUUGACUGAUCUCCUGCUCUGUAACCUUCCUGGUAAGCUCCCUGUUCAUCUCAUCAGUAAUGGUCUGUGGAAUUCCUUCUAAAAUCUCAGAAAAAACCUCAGGUUCCUCUGUCGUAUAAAUCUGCUGAAAAUAGUCCAGAAUCUCCUGGCAUGUUUCCUCCUCAUCCUUACACCACUCUCCAGACCUCUUCUGUAGCACACCUAAUCUAUUAAUCCUCCUCCUCCCAGCCACCGUGGCAUGAAAAUAACUGGUGUUCUUAUCCCCUUCUUGCAACCACUUCACCCUAGCCUUCUGACUCCAAUAUAUCUCUUCCCUUUUAUAAGCCUCUGCCAGUUUCCUUUUUAGACUUGCCAACUUGAUCCUAUACCCAUCACCUUUACAUUCCUUAACCUCUUUGAUCUCCUGCUUCACUUUUCCUAUCAUACUCUUAGAAUUACCUCCCAUCUGCUUGCUCCAACUAAGCAAAUCCACUCUAACUUCCUUUAUUUUUGCCUGAACCAUGAACAACCUGGAUCCCUUUUGCUUACUUCCCCAAGCUCUAUCUACCACCUCCUCUACAUCACUAUUUUGCAGCCAUCUCCUGUCAAACAUAAACCUCCUCUUCCCUUUUUUCCUAACAGGCUUAGUAUCAAACAACAAGAUACAGUGAUCAGAAGCCUCUACCUCUAUAUGUGCACAACUUGCCUUCUCAAACUUCCCUAUCCACCCUUUACUUCCCAAAAUCCUAUCUAUCCUUUCCUUCACCUCCCCCUCCCUGUUCCAAUUAUUGCACCAAGUCCAAGGGACUCCCUCAGCCCCAAUGUCCACCAACUCAUUUUCAUUUAUAAAAGAAUUAAAAUCUUGAAAACUCACAUUAGCUCUUUGUCUACCACCCCACUUUUCAACAUUUGAUCUGAUGUCAUUCAAGUCUCCCAUAAUUGCCCAGGACUCCCCCCAGAUACACCUCCUCCUAGCAAUAACCUUCCACUGUUCUCUCCUAAUACUAGCAUCUGCACUAGCAUAAGCACAGAUGCACCACCAUUCAACCCCUCUUUCACUAUCAUCUAUAAGUAAUUCUAUAGUGAAACUGGUAAACAACACUUUUUUAACCUUUAACUCCUGUUUCCAUAGCACUGCCAAACCUCCCGCCAACCCAACUGGAUCAACCACAAAGACAUUAUCAAACUGAAUCCAUUGCUUAACACUGUUCAAAAAGCUUUUUUUCUUUUUUGUUUCAGCCAAAAAGACCAGAGAUGGAAAGUGGAGUCUUACGACCUCCCUCAACUGGGGAACUGUCAAGGGGCUCCCCACACCUCGACAGUUCCACACCACAGCCCUCAUUUGACACUUGGAGCCCCAAUAAGGGUGGACUCCAACCCCUCAGCAAGUUCCAUCUCCUCACAGUUCCCACCAUCAGACUUUAUUUUCUUCAUAUUUUCCUUCCCUUCCUGAUCCUCUUUCCCCUCCCAUUCCACAGUCUCCAUCUUCCUUUUUCCCUUCUCCAUCCCCCCCUCCACCUGAUUGACUUCCACUAGGGGUCUUCUCUUACUAACUUCCAGAACCAAUCUUUUCCAGGUUUUGUUUGUCCUAUCAGAACCUUUCUUUCUACCCCCCUGCUUCCCUGUCUUCCUCCUUUCCUCCAUAGCCCCCCUGUUCCCUAUCCUCUCCCUUUCAUCCCCCAACCCCCUCUUCCCAUCUCUCUCCCCAUCAACCCACAUAAGGUCAGUCAACUCAUCCACUAACCCCUCCCCCUGGCUCACCCCCUGUGUCAUCACCUGAAUACUAACCCCUCCGGUUAGCUUUUCAUUUCUCAUUAAUCUUUUUGCUUGUCCCUAUUCUCGAUUACAAGUUCUACUUUCAUCAGAUGAAAGGGGCCAAAAUAAUAAAAAACUGCAACUCCAAUUCUUUCAUUAAAAAGGCAAAUCUGGAGCUGCAAAGAGUCUUGCGAAAGGUAGAAUCCACAACUUGAUGGCAAAGAAUCAAAAUUCUAAGGAAUAGGACGUUAGGUGGUGAAAAACUUUUACAAGGCAGAUAAAAGGCAAAAGAAACCAAAAUACCACACACUUAUUUUGCAUCAGAGUCAUCCUAUCUUUACAAAUUCUCUUUUUUUAGAAAAAUGUUACACAACUCUUUUCUAAUCUAAGUUACUUCCCAGUUCCCAACUUAGAUCCUUUCCAAUCUUUAGCGGUGCCCAUGUCUCAUGCUCGGACAAAAUUCGCCUCGACAGGCCACUUCUCCUCUGCCUAUCCUGCAUGCUGAUGGUCGUUGGAAUCUUCAUCCAACCACUCGACCUUGCUCCCCAGGCUACUCGAGGAAAUUGAAUUGGAUUCACACCCUGCUUCUGAUCGGAUCAGUACGAUAAACAACUUUGUAUUAUCAAUCAUAUAUCAUCUUACAGGUGGUGUAAUUAUGGGCAAUCUCACCAAUGUGGGAUUUUACAUUUAUCUGAAGUCAUAUCCACUUGUCUGUCCUCUUUUUUCGACUAAACAGUUGUAAAUAUAUACAGGAGUAAAAUUGACAAUGCGGGGGCUUUGGAUGCUUCUGAUCUAUCAAGUUGUUCUCAGAUUUUUAUCGUAAACAUCGGGAUAUGAAGAGGGGUUGAUUGAGAAGAACAGGAAGAGGGGACGACAUUAGUAUGAUAGUAAGAAAGAAUGUUUCUUAUUAGACUUGGCUGAAACUUAAUUUCAGCCAGUCAUACUAGAAUAUCCAAAGCGUUCUUCUCGAAUCGCUCUAGUACGAUGGAAAGAUGUGUUAGAUAUUUUCAAAAUUUGAUCAGUUGCAAGACGGGGCAUCUUAGGAUCUGACAUAAGAUCCAUCACUGUUUGGUUCCUACAAUACUCAGAAGUUGUUCAAGUCUACUUGACACAUUUUCAUAUUUUUGAUAGUUAACUACUAUCUAAAUAGUGUUUAAACAUGCAAAAAUUAUGUGAACGCUUGCAUUGAUAUUGAGGAACAUUUUGACCAAUACAAAUACACAAAUCAGCGGUGAAAGGUUGCAACUCUUGGUCAUUUCAAUCUCAACUACAUAAAUGUCUGGUAGGGAUGGUUUGCUGCAGAAGAUCAAUUUCCUACUACUAGAAUUCUCUGCAAAAACACAACAUAGUUUAAGUAAGUUUGUCUAACUUUGUGCAAGAGUUAAGACAAAAUACCCUUCAAAUUAUUUUAAAGGAUAUUUGUCCAAAACCUUUGAAUACAAAAUUUUUGAUAAAUAAAGUCUAAAGAAAAGUGAUUUUGAGUCACGAUUUGAAGUCUUUUUGUCUCACUUGCUUUGUAACUUUUAGUCAUUUUCUCCUAUAUUAUCCCCAACAAGAUGGAUCCGCCGGAGAAAAUGCAAAAUGAUAGAAUUGUUCGCUCCCUCCACGCCUUCCACGGUCCAUUUUCAUUCUCUUCCCUGCCGGAGAAGGUGGAUAAAUAAAGGUAGCUUGCUUGUCCUCUGGCGGCUUAUGUCAUCUGCUUGAAGGAUAUUGAGAAAGCUUCCUUACCACAAAUAAGAAAUUGUAUAAGAAUUGAAUUCUAAUGCUAGGUGGACAAGACCAUACAACUAGAAAACGUUGAAAAAUACGAAGUCCUCCAAAAAGUUGGGAUCUCGUGUCUUUGCUUAUCUACCUUCGUUUUCUUCUACCUGUCUCAGUAAUAGAAGUCAUAUUUGAAGUAUUUGAAAUUUGUUCUAACAAUUUGAGUUCAGGAAUAGAUUAUAUUAUGGUAGGAAACUACUUCAUUUUUUAUCUAUUAAAAUAUUAUUUGAUACCACUAUACAAAGGCACUGUAUAUGGCAUUUGAUGCAGGAUUGUUGCAUCUCCAAAGUUCACAAGAAGGUUACAGUUUACACCAAUCAUAUGAACAUGCAUAUAAAUAGAACAUUUAUUACUAUUUUUUCAAGGGCUAAUUACAAUUUACCCCAUGUGGUUUAGUGUUUUAUUGCAUAACCCCUUAUGGUUUCAAAAGCUAUACAUAACCCCUCAUGCUUUAGAUUAAAGUGUCAAAGUGAUGGAACUUACAAUCCAUAACGGAGUCAACUAUAAUAUCAAAAAUACUCCUAUAUAAAGUUAAAAAUUAUUUAUUAACCACAGGGGAUUAUGUAUAUAUAUUAAAAAUCAUAAGAGAGUUAUAUGAUAAAUCACUAAAGCAUGAGGGGGUUAUAUGGUAAAAUAUAAAAUCAUAUAGGGUUAGAAUAUCAUGCAUAUUAUUUAUAUAUAUUUUGGUUAUUUUAGUUUUUAAACAAAGGUAAUUUCGAUAUUUUCAUAGGUUCCAUUACAGGUGAUCAUUUCCAUCACUUUAAUACUUUAAUCCAAAUUAUGAGGGGGUUAUAUAUAACUUUUAAAACUAGUGGGAGGGUUAUGUGUAAAUUAGUUAUACCGCAGAUGGGUAAAGUGUAAUUUGCCCUUUUUUCAAAUAAUGCUAGAUGAUUGCCACCGGAAGGUGUUAAAAACUUGAAAAAAAAAUUGUCGAAAGAAGAAAAACCAAAAAGACUUGACCACCACGCCAAGAUCACGCAUAGGGCUGCAAACGAGUCGAGCCGACUCGAGUUUUAGCCUAAUCGAGUCGAGUCUUGACUUAAUUUUAGUGAACUCGAACUCGAGCUCGAGCUCGACGAGCCGACAAUUUAAAGCUCGAGCUCGAGCUCGAAAAAAAAAAUUUAUUUUAUUUUUUUAAAAAAUAAAUAAUAUAAUUUUUUUUCUUAAUUAAUAAUAAAAGAUUAAGGAUAUAUAUGUAAUUUUACUAUUAAAAUAAAAAAAUAAAAAAAUAUAUAUAUACUUAAAAUUAAAAAAUAUAUAUACUUAAUAUAUAUAUAUAUAUAUAUAUAUAUAUAUAUAUAUAUAUAUAUAUAUAUAUAUAUACUCGAGCUCGUGAGCCGGGCUUAAUAUCUUGACCUCGAGUUCGAGGUCAAAUUUGACUCGAGCCAGCUCGAGCUCGAGUCGAGCUUGACUCGAGCCGCUCGCGAGCCGCAGUUCGUUUGCAGCCCUAAUCAAGGCACUCAUAUUAUCAACAGUAACAGGUUGCUGCCACCAAUCCCUUGUGCAAAAUCACCCCAAAUAUCCAAAGCUACACCCAACAACAAUGAAACACUAUAGCGGCUAAUACUACACUACCAAUGAAAUGUAUACAAAAGCAACUAGUACUACAAUGCCAAUAAAAAAAAUGUAUACAAAAACCACGUCCUUUUUUUUCAGUAUAAAUAGAUGAAUUAUUAGUAUUUGCGUGGCUAAGGAGGCCUUGAUGUAGAAGAUAAAAUUGAGAUUUCAGAAAUUAGAGAUUCUUGGCUCAUUUUCCCUUAUCCCCUCCCUUGCUAGAAGAAUAAAACUAACUUUAAAACUUAGUAUUUGCGUAAAUCACAAAAGCACAGAAAGUUUACAUCAUGGAAGAGGAACAGGGAUCAAAACGGAAUUUUAUUGGGAAGGGACUGAAUGGAUGGAUGGAUAGAUAGAUGUCCGUGAAUCCACAAUAUAGUCUGCUGAAUGAUACAAAACAUACCAAAUAUGAAGACAAGCCAGUCACAAUCAUGUGAAGCCAUUAUUCGACCAUGUUAGACACCGCGAAAUGCUGUCUUGCAAAGAUUCCUACACUACAUAAAGGCACUAAUUUAUCAAGGGCUUCAGCAGCUUCCAAGUCUUGAGUGUUCGUUGCUUUGCCAACUCCUCCUACUGAAAUAUCCUACACAUGAUUCCUACACUACACUGAAAUAUCCUACAUAUGCUGUCUUGCAAAGAUUCCUACACUACAUAAAGGCACUAAUUUAUCAAGGGCUUCAGCAGCUUCCAAGUCUUGAGUGUUCGUUGCUUUGCCAACUCCUCCUACUGAAAUAUCACCUGCUGUAAUUUGAGCUGGUGCAUUCAGUCCCAUUGAUCUGGCUUUAACCAUUAUUCCCCCAAACUGAACCAUGUUUGCAUGGCUAUGUAGACGACUAAACAGAAGUGAUGGCCAAUAUCCAACAACUAUCCCUGGCCCGAUUUCGAGCCACCAAUGCCCAUGCUUAGCAUCCUACAAAAAUGAAACUUGAGUCGUAUAAAGACAGUGUGUUUGGACAGGAAAUUAUUUGAAAUAUUACUUGACUAAUGUAGUACUAUUAUAACGUGACAUACAUAGAUGGAACUAAAAAAUAUAUCUUGAGGGUUUAAGCUUUAAUAUACCUAAACUUAAAUGUAUAACCUAAAAUAUUUUUGAGUUUUUGUAGGGGUGAGAUUUGAAAUUUAGAAUCAUUUACAUAUAACCCCCUGUGGUUUCAUCUGUUACUACAUGAUCCCCCAACGCUUCAAAAUGUCCACUUCACUCCCUAUGGUUUUAUAUGAAGUGGAAGUUUGAUGGAAAAUAGUUAUCUAAUGUCAUUAGUUGAAUUAUCAAUAGUGUCCUUACUUAAAUACUAAAUUAAUCGACGGCUUAACCACCUUAUAUAAAAGUAUAGAGAGAUUACGUAGAUAAAUGCAAAAAUCACAGGAGGUAAAAUGGAUAUUUAUACAAAUCAUAAGGGGGUUACAGGGAUAUUAAAGCACGUUUGGUAUAAAUGUUUAAACUGAUUGUGCAUUCCUUCCAUUUUUCACUUUACAUAAAACUACAAGGGAGUUAUUUGGCUAUUUUAAAGCCUUAGGAGGGUCUAUCAUUUUGUAAAACUACAAGGGAUCAUAAGUAAUUUACCCUUCAAUUUAUAAAGAGUGAUUUUGAAAAAUUUUUAAUCUCAUAAGGGAGGAAACUUAAAUUUUAAUAGACUUGAAGGAGGCUCUUCCCACAUCCCCUAGUUCCAUCUUUGGUGAUAUAUAUGAGAUUUUCCUUUUAAAAAAAUAGUGAUUAAAAAGAUAAAAGGAGAAUAAAAAAAUGUGUUUGUAACACAAGCAAAUAAUAUUUUACAAAACAAUACCAAUCCAAACAUGAUUACUACUCUAUCAAAUAUGCAAAAAAAAAAAAAAAUAGAUAUUUGACAUUUGAAUAAAAUGACUUGUGACAUGAUUAGUUCAAGCUUUGUUGACCUUGGUUGAUCAGUCCUUGGUUUUGAUGAUUAACAAACCAAAAUGUAGAUUUGGACUAAUUUUUUUAUGUGAGAAAUUUGUUAGAACAGGUCAUUGAUCCAAAAGAGAAUCGAAAAGAUUUGAAUCAAAGAGAAGUUAAGAAAUAUGAAGGUUCGGACGUAGAGAAUCGGACGCUCGAUAGAGGAUCGGACGUCCGACAGACGACGAUACUCUUCGGACGCUUGGAUCGGACGCUUGGAUCGGACGCUUAUUCAUUGCUUCGGCCGUCCAACACAAAAAGAAUGAAAGUUGAACAUUCUGACUUCUAUCGGACGCAGGGUUCGGACGCAGAACAAAUGGUUCGGACGUCCGAUAGGUGGUUCGGACGCAUGGUUCGGACGCAGAGCAAAUGGUUCGGACGUUCGACAGGCCAACGGCUAGUUUCGACAGCAUUUAAUAUUUGACCGUUGGAGAGCCUUUUGGAGCCAUUUCUCACCUUCUAUAAAUACCCCAAAACACAAGAAAACACAGACUUUUGCCAACACUAAAUACAAGCUUACAAGUGAGAUCUUUGAGUAGAAAUAUUCUUUGUUGGUUGUAUAAGGGGUUGGGAAAGUUGGGUUGUGAGGUUGCUCAAGUGAAGGUUACUCUCUAGGAGGAGUAAAACCUUGGUGAAGGUGAACCUAUCACUUGGAGUGGUAAAAGUUUGAUAAAGGUUGCCUCACUUGUAUAAAGUAGUUCUUAAUUGAGUGGGUAAACUUUCAAUUGUAGCUAGUUGAGGGUUUACUUGGAGAGUAGUAAAAUUCCUUUGCUCAACCAAAGUAUGUUUGGGGUGAGGAAGGAGUGAGCCUUCACUUGUACAAGUUGGUUAGCACUACCAUCAAUUGAAGAAACUAUUUGGUGGAUUCAACUCCAAGUUUGGAAGAAACUUGGGAGUUUGAUUGGUUUGAAUUUCUUUUACUUUAUUGUUACUCUAUUUUUGUGCUUUAAAAUUGCUUAUAUUUUUUGUCAUCGUAUUUACUUGACUACUUGUCUGGUUGAGUAUUUUGGUUGUAUUUGGUUGCAUCGGGGCUAACAAUUGGCAUCAGAGUUUGGUCUCCUAGAGAUUAAGCUUAACCGCUUAGAGUAAAGAUCAUGGCAACCAUAAAUGUUUCUUUUUUAGAAGGGCAAUCUAUUGAUAGACCACCUAUGUUUAAUGGUUCUCAUUUUAGCAUGUGGAAACAAAGAAUAAUGAUUUUCUUACAAUCCGUUUAUAUUGAAUUAUGGUAUGUGGUAGAAGAUGGUCCUUAUGAAGCUAGAAUAGUUGACUCUACCACUAAUUUGAGUAGAUUAAAGACUAGACAAGAAUUGAAUGAAAAAGACAAGAGAUACCUUUCUUUGAAUGCCAAGACCAUGUAUAUAUUGUGCAAUGCAUUAGAUGUAAAUGAAUCUAGUAGAAUUAAAGGUUGUAAAUCAGCUAAAGAUAUUUGGGAUAAAUUGGGUGAAUUUCAUGAAGGUAACCAAGAUAUUAAAGAACAAAAGAAAUCUUUGCUUGUUUCUCAAUAUGAAUUUUUCAAAAUGCAUCCUCUUGAAAAUGUUGAUAAGAUGUGUAGUAGAUUUUGUGACAUUAUUCAAGAUCUUAAAUUGCUUGGAAAAGAAUAUUUUUUGGGUGAGAAAAAUAGAAAGAUUUUGAAUGUCUUGUCAAAAGAAUGGGAAAACAAAAUAAAUGCUAUAGAAGAGGCAAAUGAUUUAAAUUCUAUGUCCAUUGAAUCUCUUGUGAAUUCCCUAACCUCUUAUGAAUUAAAGCUGAAAUUCAAAGUGCAAGAGGAAGAAAAUGCAAGAAUGUAUAAGAGAGGCAUAGUUUUUAAAGCAUCUCAAGUGGGGGAUAACCCAUCCUUCAUGGGUAAUGAAAACAUGGAAGUGGACAAUGAUAUAACUCCUCACAUCAAAAGUUUCAAGAAGAUCUUCAACAAGAGAAGUUCAAGAGGAGAUUGCAAAAUUACAUGAGAUGAAUGCAAUUCAAAAAGAGAAAAAGAAGAGUUGGCCCAAAUGGCACUAAUGGCCUUUGGAGAAGAUGAGGUAAAUUCUUAUCACUCUUCUAGUGAUGAAGAUAAUGAAGAUGAUGAUGUGCAAAUUCUUAUGAUUAAAAUACAUAAAAGUUUGAGAGAAUCUUAUGCUAAAAAUAAAGAUUUGAAAACAAAAAUAAAUGAUUUGUUGGAAGAAAACUUCAAACUUUUUCAAGAAAACAAAUGUUUGAGAAUGGAAAAUGAUGAUUUAAAAAAUCAAAAAGGUGUUUUUGAUUGUAAAAAUAAUUUGAAAAGGAAGUUGGAAGAGAAAACAAAGUUUUAUGAAAAAAUGUUGGAGGAACAAAAUUUGUUAAAGAAAAGAAUUAAUGAUUUGAACGAGUUUCUCCAAAAUGAAAAACAAAAGUUUUCUCAAACAAAAGAAAGCAAAUCUUUUCAAGGCACAAAUAAGUUUGCUAUGAUAAGAAGUAAGAAAAUUAGUUGCAUUAAAUCCACUUAUGUGCAAAAUACUUCUAUCAUGUGUCACUUUUGUUGCCAAUUUGGACAUAUGCAAAAUGAUUGCUAUGUAAAGAAAAAUAUGAGAAAAUGUAUGAAAUCCAUGUGGAUUGCUAGAUCAUGUUGUACUAACUCCCAAGGACCCUAUAAAGAAAAAAUACCAAAUGAAAUUUCUCAUACUUAGGUACAUCAUGAAGAUUUAAUCCAAAAAGUGCUAAAUGGUUGAAAGUACAUUUGAAAGUUUUGACAUUCAAUAUGGUCUUGAUUUGAAAAAUAAAGGAGGAGUUUGCUUUUUGAUUGAUGCCAAAAGGGGGAGUAGGAUUUAUUGAAAUUUCUUUGUAUGUUGGCAUUUUCUAAGGGGGAGUUUUAUUUGAACUUAUUUGAUCAAAGAAAUCUUCAUUUUGUUUGUCAUCAUCAAAAAUGGGGAGAUUGUUGACCUUGGUUGAUCAAUCCUUGGUUUUGAUGAUUAACAAACCAAAAUGUAGAUUUGGACUAAUGUUUUUAUGUGAGAAAUUUGUUAGAACAGGUCAUUGAUCCAAAAGAGAAUCGAAAAGAUUUGAAUCAAAGAGAAGUUAAGAAAUAUGAAGGUUCGGACGUAGAGGAUCGGACGCUCAAUAGAGGAUCGGACGUCCGACAGACGACGAUACUCUUCGGACGCUUGGAUCAGACGCUCAUUCAUUGCUUCGGCCGUCCAACACAAAAAGAAUGAAAGUUGAACAUUCUGACUUCUAUCGGACGCAGGGUUCGGACGCAGAACAAAUGGUUCGGACGUCCGAUAGGUGGUUCAGACGCAUGGUUCGGACGCAGAGCAAAUGGUUCGGACGUCCGACAGGCCAACGGCUAGUUUCGACAGCAUUUAAUAUUUGACCGUUGGAGAACCUUUUGGAGCCAUUUCUCACCUUCUAUAAAUACCCCAAAACACAAGAAGACACAGACUUUUGCCAACACUAAAUACAAGCUUACAAGUGAGAUCUUUGAAUAGAAAUAUUCUUUGUUGGUUGUAUAAGGGGUUGGGAAAGUUGGGUUGUGAGGUUGCUCAAGUGAAGGUUACUCUCUAGGAGGAGUAAAACCUUGGUGAAGGUGAACCUAUCACUUGGAGUGGUAAAAGCUUGAUAAAGGUUGCCUCACUUGUAUAAAGUAGUUCUUAAUUGAGUGGGUAAGCUUUCAAUUGUAGCUAGUUGAGGGUUUACUUGGAGAGUAGUAAAAUUCCUUUGCUCAACCAAAGUAUGUUUGGGGUGAGGAAGGAGUGAGCCUUCACUUGUACAAGUUGGUUAGCACUACCAUCAAUUGAAGAAACUAUUUGAUGGAUUCAACUCCAAGUUUGGAAGAAGCUUGGGAGUUUGAUUGGUUUGAAUUUCUUUUACUUUAUUGUUACUCUAUUUUCGUGCUUUAAAAUUGCUUAUAUUCUUUGUCAUCGUAUUUACUUGACUACUUGUCUGGUUGAGUAUUUUGGUUGUAUUUGGUUGCAUCGGGGCUAACAAGCUUGUUACAUAUGAGUUUAUUAAUUGGGAACUUCUUUUACAUAAAUUACGGGUACCACCAUGGGUAUCCACCUUUUUUAAGAGAUACAGACGUGUAAAUAUAGACCAUAUCUAUUACUAUAUAAUGUAAUCGUAUUUUGACUAAAAUCACAAAUGUCAAUCAGAAACUAUUCAGAAUAAAAAAAAAGGGCUACAUGGAUAAAUAAAAUUAACUUUGUAAAAACAUUUUUCUAUUAGACACUUUCCAUAUUUUGUAUCACAAAAAUAAAAAGUAGAAAGGAUUUGAACUUCUUCCAAACUAAAAUUUGAAGAAAAUCUCAAAACAUAUAUAGUCAAAAUGUAACUGAAAAAAAAAAAGAUUUCUAAAGAUUCAAAUUAAAAUAUCUAUGAAUUUAGGGUAAAAUACACGGAACUCCCCUAUGGUUUCGCGAAAAGACACAUUAUCCCCCUAUCGUUUAGAAACAUACACAUAAACACCCUAAACUUCAUAACUAAAGUGGAAAUUGACUUCUUAACCGGCUGAGUUACCAGCUGCAGGUCGAAUACCCAAAAUACCCUCAUUUAUAAUAGAGAGGGAGAGAGAAUCAAGAACUGACUCUCUCUCGUUCACUCUCUCUCGUUCAUCCUGUGUAAGAAAAAAAAACCCUAAAACAAGGGAUUUGUAUACUAAAUUGUUGCUGAAAUAUCAUGAAUCUGAGUUGAAAACAGCGUGGCUGCCUUUCGGACAUGAAUUGGUUGAUCCUAAAGGGUUCCUGAGAAGCUGGAACAACAGUGGUAUUGGAGCUUGUUCGGGUGGCUUGGCCGGGAUUAAAUGUGCUCGGCGACUAGUAAUUGUAAUCCAGCUUCCCUGGAAAGGUCUAGGUGGUCGAGUAACUGAAAAAAUUGGGCAGCUUCAAGCUCUCAGAAAGCUUAGCCUCCACAAUAAUGCAAUUGGUGGUGCAAUUCCUUCCUCGUUGGGGCUUUUGCCUAACCUCAGAGGUGUUCAAUUAUUCAAUAAUCGAUUUUCUGGUUCAAUCCCACCUACACUUGGUUUGAGUCCCCUUCUUCAAUCACUAGAUUUCUGUAACAACUCCCUCUCUGGAACUAUUCCGGCUACUCUUGCCAAUUCAACCAGGCUCUUUAGGCUUAAUUUUAGCUACAACUCUUUGUCUGGUUCAAUUCCCACCAGCCUUACUCAAUCGCAAUCGCUGAUUUUUCUUGCUCUAGAGCACAACAAUCUCUCUGGUUCCAUUCCUGACUCUUGGGGUGGAAAUGUGAAGGCCCUCUAUCAACUUCAGUCCCUAACACUUGGUCACAAUUCAUUUUCUGGGACAAUUCCAGCUUCUCUUGGCAACUUAAGUGAGCUCCAAGAGAUUUCACUCAGUCAUAACAACAUGGCUGGAUUGAUACCCAAUGAAAUUGGAAGACUAUCUAGGCUUAGAACACUUGAUUUCUCAUAUAAUGCACUCAAUGGGAGCUUACCUGCCGCUCUUUCCAAUUUAUCAAACCUUGUAGUUUUGAACUUGGAAAGCUACCAUCUUGACCACCAAAUUCCUGCAGCUGUAAACAAACUACAGAAACUAUCUGUUCUCAACUUGAGAAAUAACCAAUUUGCUGGUCCUAUUCCAGCAACAGUUGGGAACAUUUCUUUCCUGACACAAGUUGAUUUAUCUCAAAACAAGUUUAGUGGAGAGAUUCCAGCAUCUAUAGGUGAUUUACCUAAUCUUAGUUCCUUUAAUGUGUCUUACAACAAUCUGUCCGGUCCUGUUCCAACUAAGCUUGCUCAAAAGUUCAAUGCAAGCGCCUUCGUGGGCAAUCUUGAGCUAUGCGGAUACAGUGCAUUAACCCAAUGUCCAAUACCACCCUCUCUGGGCCCAUCAACUCCACCAGAAUCUCCAGCAAAGAAACAUCAUAGACUGAGCACUAAAGACAUUAUUCUCAUCGCAGCUGGGGCUCUCCUCAUCUCCGGAGAAAAAGGCACUCCUCCAACUGCAGGUGAAGUUGAAGCAGCUGGAGAAGCAGGAGGAAAGAUUGUCCACUUUGAUGGACCCAUGGUUUUUACAGCAGACGAUCUGUUGUGUGCCACAGCAGAGAUCAUGGGUAAGAGCACUUAUGGAACAGUAUAUAAGGCAGCAUUGGAGGAUGCAGUGUUGCUGCAGUGAAGAGAUUGAGAGAGAAGAUUACAAAAGGACAAAGGGAAUUUGAAACUGAGGUUAAUAUACUGGGGAAGAUCAGGCAUCCAAACCUUUUAGCGAUGAGGGCUUAUUAUUUAGGUCCGAAAGGUGAAAACUUCUCCGUAGAUCUUCUCCCUUUUUCCUUUCACUCUUUGAUAGCUUGAAAUCUCUUCUCCCCUGAUAUGUCACUUCAAUAUAGCAACUGAAGGGUAACUUGGGAAUGAAACUCAAGAUCUUUUCAAAAGAAUCUCGCAUACCCAUCAUCAGUAGGUCGUUCAGCCGGUUAUAGGUCUAUUUCCACUUUAGUUAUGAAGUUUAGGGUGUUUAUGUGUAUGUUUCUAAACGAUAGGGGGGUAAUGUGUCUUUUCGCGAAACCAUAGGGGGGUUCCGUGUAUUUUACCCAUGAAUUUAAAUAAAUGUGUUUAAUUGUAUAGUUGAUACAAUUUUGGUAAUAUCUUCUAUAAUAAGGUAAAGCCAAUAAUUAUAAAUCUUCAGCAUGUAUAGUAUAUGCCAAACCAAUCAAAUAUGUAUAACGAAUGUGAAUUUCUUUUAUUUAUAACCUCUUUCAUGUAGAAAAAAUAUCUUUAUUAAAUUAGAUUGGUUUUAUGAGUACUAAGUGAUUAAAUUAUAAAAUAUUAGAAUGUCAUUACUAUCUCAGUUAUCAAAUGGCAUUGCCUAAGAUCUACUUUAGUAUCUUAAGAGUGAGGCUUAAACCAAUAGUUAGUUAAUAAAAUAAUUAAAAAAAUGGAAAGUCAUGGUAACUAAAAUAUGAAAAAUUAUGCAUGGAUGAUAGAAAAUGUAAAUUUCCAAAAAAAAAAAUUCCAACAUUUAUUGCCAUAAAGAGAGAAAAAAACUAAAGUAAAUUGUUGAUAAGUAUAAAAAGGAAUGCAAUUGAAAUAAAAAAAAUUAAAGAAUAAAUUAGUGAGAAGGAGAUCACUUCAUGUGUUGCACACUAAAGUAGACAACAAACUAAAGAAUGGAUGAAAAAAGAAAGUCUACAAAGCUUAUACACCAUACAACUCUUCACUAUUUUUACCAAUUUUGCUAUUAGUCAUGUAAGAGUUUGUAGAAUUUUGUUCAAUCUUUUUGCUUAGAAUUUAAAAUUUGAUGGUGUGAUAUAUAUCUUUCAACUUAAUCAAUUGUAUCUCUUUAUAAAGCCAUAGCCAUGGUUUUUCACGUGACAAUGUAUUCCUGUCUUUUUCUUUUUAUUCACUCUAAGAACUAAAACAUAGGACCAAUUCAACUUUAAACAUCAAUAGAUUCUUUGACAUUUGAUUUUUCUUGCCUACAAUGACAUUAAUUUUGAUUAAGUUCAACAUCAUAUACUAAGGGCAAAUUACACUUUUCCACCCUAUAGUUUAGUGUUUCCUUAUAUAAUUCUCCUAUGGUUUCAAAAACUAUAUAUAACCCCCUCAUAGUUUGGAUUAAAGCGUCAAAGUAACGGAAUUUGCAAUCCAUCACGGAGUCAAGUAAAAUGUCAAAAAUAUCCCCAUGUAAAGUAGAAAAUUACUUAUUAACCACAAGGGGGUUAUGUUUAUAUAUAUUAAAAACCAUAAGGGGGUUAUAUGAUAAAGCAUUAAACCAUAAGGGAGUUAUAUGAUAAAAUAUAAAAUCAUAUGGGGUUAGAGUGUGAUGCAUAUUAUGUUUAUAUAUUUUGGUCACUUCAGUCAUUUUAGUUUUUAAACAAUGGUAAUUUCGAUAUUGUCCUAGGUUUCGUUACAGAUGAUCAUUUCUAUCACUUUAAUACCUUAAUCCAAACUAUGAGGGGAUAUAACAGAUUUUAUCAGAUUGAGUUUGAUAUCAAAAUAAUUUAGUUAUUAGAAAAAUAAGGAUAUUUGUUAACCAAAGAUCAUGUUGGUUUGUUAACAAAUAUUUUACCUAAGAUUUGCUAGUAGAGGAAGAUUACAUUUUGUUGAGAUUUUUAGGAUAAUUGUUAGUUGAUAUUUUGCUAGUUUAUUUCAUGUAAUCACUAUAAAUAGUAAGUUGAUGAAUGAAUAAUACAAACUCAUUUUCUACUUUCAAUACAAGUCUCUUAUAAGUUUUUUUUUUGCAACACUAAGGUAUUGUUUUUUAGUGUAUGCCCCAAAAAACCAACAGAAGCACGUGCAUUUUACUAGUAACCCAAUAUAUUCUUUUUUUGUGGAGAUAUUAAAGGUGGCAUGCACUUGCUAACUGCCCUUACCACUUGCUAACUGCCCUUGCCACUUGCCUUUAAUUAUUUGUGAUCCAUUACUUUGAUGGAAGUUGUGUGGUUUAGUGGAGUUCAAGAAAUGGGACAAGAGCUACUUGUAUAAGCUUCAUUUAAAACCAGUUGUUAUGAACUAGUAACAGAAGUUUCGUUGUUGUCAACCAAAAAAAAAAAAAAAUGUUUAGUUGUUGUCAACAAAGGAAAAAUAAAUAAAUUAAUAAAAAUCCUGAUGCCCUGACAGAGAGGAGAAUCUGACAAUCAAUUAACUAUAUCAAGAAUAGUUGGAAAGCCAGAAAGAUAUUAUAAUGAGGAUGAUAUAAAACCAUUUGUAUGUUAUGACAUACUCUUACCUAAUUUGAGCAGGCAAAUAAUAACAGGGUUGUACUUUUCUUAGUUUCACGUGUCGAAUGUAAAUAUGUGAAUUUAGUUUGAUUUUGCAAGACAAAAACUCAGGAUGUUUCAAUUAAAGUCUAAGAAUCUGAACUUGAAGGUUACAUAAGAUAGCAUUGAGCUUACCUUUGCGAUGAUCAUCGGUAUGCCGAUAUCAAGUUCUCUGCCAUUCUGGGAAAAUCUUGGAGAGAUUGCUGCCCCUAAAGAAAUUCUAUUAUUAGUUUGUACAAAGCCUGAACACAGGAGGUUAUAGCAUCCUGUGGUUCCAUAUGAAUCAGCCUGUAGAUUGAAAGUGAUCCGCAAUCAAGAACUUUUAUGUCUGGCACAUACAGACGUAACUUAAGGAUGCAUAUUUGAUGGUUUACCGUCCAAUACGUGAAGAAUCUGGGGGAGUUGUCUCCAAAUAAUUUCGGAUUAACCUGGAGAAUUUAAAAAUGGCUGAUCCUUAGAUGUCUUCUUCUUCUUCCACCCUAGAAGACUUAGAAAAAGUGACUCUUGUGUCUAGUUUACGUACCUGCCAGCCGGCUUCAACGGUAUUAAGAUCAUUACUAGUACUAUUACCAGAGGCCAUCCAGACUUGUGACAGUCUGAAGUCAUAUUGGUCCGUCUCAUUAGCUUUCCAGACAUGUAUGUAGAGCCGUGCUCCAGAGUAACAAUCUCCAGUAACAUCGCCAACAGGUCUCUACAUUGCAAAUAAAGAAAAGAUCAGGUGUAUAAAAUCCGAAUCUAUGAACUUUUGAUGCUACGAUUGGAAACUUAAAAGCUUAGACAGAGCCAAAAUAUGUUAACAGCAAUUUGAUUUGCAACUUGAUUUAUUCAUAUUGUCCAAUGAGGUUCUUAAAUAUCACUUUUUCCUUUGGUAAGAAUUUCACUUUUAUUCUCUUCUCAAACUUCUCAUUUGUUUGGCAUUGUUCCAGAAAUGUAAUUAUUUUGAGGAGAGAAUAAGAAAAUGACAUGAUCUAUUUUUCGGAGAGAGAGAGAGAGACAUUUGGAUGUAAUUAUAGGAAGAAGAUAAGAUAAGUUUCCCCAAACUUCGAGUCGCUUAUGCAUUGAUUUAGAAAUCAUUGCCUUGAUAAAUCUGAGAAACUGACCUAACUAGUUUCUUAAAAACUAACUGAACCAAGCUUUUUUGAGUGCCAUUUUACUUCAUUUCAUAGACUUACCAGUUGAUCAUUACUGCUUAUCUUAGUAUUCUGUUUACUGAAAGAUUUUCGGCCGAAUUUGUGCAGUGAACCAGCUCUCAGGACAUCUUUCAUUGUAGUUCUUCUGAUAGGUACAGUACCAUCCGGGCACGAUUCACCAGAAUCAGUCCACAGUUGAAUGCUCUUCCUCCAGCCAUGGUUGGUUGGUCUCUGUCCAAAUAUCGGCGGAGUUACAGUUGAAAGCUCUGUCGAUACCAGAAUCAGUCCAAACAAAACUUUUUCAAGACAUCAAAUUUCUUUCAUCAUAGUGCCAGGUUAAAUCUGGAUAUGCUUUAAUUUUAUCAGCCCAUUACUAGGUAUGUGUAAAUGUACUUUUAACAAAAUAGUUUCCUUAGACUCUAGUUUCUGCAGAAACAUAGAGCAAAUGAUCUGAUUCUGAACACAAUUACCAGUGGCUUCAGUCCUUUGAGCAGAGGAUGAUCAAAAGCCGGUUGGAGAUGAGAUGGGACACAAUCUAUUAGAUCACCAUCUGGACUCUGUGUCAAAGAAGUUAGGCAAAUUGAAAUUAGUAAACCUGAAAACCACUAAAAAGAUGCCAAAUUUAGCUAGCCACAGUACUGGAAAGGUAUGAAAAAGAAUUGCCUCAAUUGUCUUGAUUGCGAGUUUGUUAAUCCUCCUCAGAUACCUUCUAAUUCUCUUUGACUUCUGCACCCUUUGACUCAGAUGGAUAGUUUGAUUGCGUAACAGGUGGUUGUCACUGGAAUCCAAUAUAUCAUUUGGCAUAGAAAAGGCAGAUGAAAUAGAAGAAGCAAUAAGUACAACCAAAGUGAAGAUAAUUCGGACUGUUUUGUAACAUCUGGCAGAGGCCAUGCUUGUUCUGUAUAUAUCUAUUUCUGCUUCUCUUAACUUAGUGUUUCUCCUAAAUACAAAUAUCACGCAUUUGUAUUGGCCACCAUGACAUUCUGAACGACAGAAUCAUGGUUUACUAAAAAAUGAUUGUCCACCAAGAUAGCUGUAGUGCUCAAGAAGCCAUCCAAAUGCAAGAAGUCAACCCUGGAUUGUUAGAAAGUUUAUCAAAUCAUUUAUAUUACCCAACAAACCAAUCAAAGAAAAAGUCAAAUCAACUCUCCCUCAACAUUUUGAACUUUCUUCCCUCCUAUCUCUGGCUUUUCAAAGAUUCUAUAAUGUUAUAGUAGUCUCCCAAUAAGCAUUAAUGAGUAUAGGAGGUUUCACCAGUAAUAUAUUGAUAGUCUACGAAACUCAACUGGUUAUCAUAAAGAAUGUGCACAGACAAAAGGACUUGCAAAUUAAUGCAUAAGUUAAAGAUUCAAAACUUAUUUGCUUGCUCAGUGCAGCUAGCUUAGGGAUGACAGCAGAUGCAGAUGGAAUCUAAGUUAUAAUUUGCUGCUUGGUUUUCACUUUUGUGUAGGUCAAAUUCAUGUGGCUUGCUUAAUCUCCACAGCUAGCUGGUUGGUGGGCGCAUAUCAGCCUCCUCAUCGAUAUUAAUCUAUUAAUCGACUCUCAAUUUGUCUUGCUAAUUUGUCUUCCUGUUUUUCAGAUUUUGUUUCCUUCUUUUCUAACCUAAGAAGUCAGGGUGGGUGUACACAAAUUUAGUUGACUUCAGAUUCCAAUGUAUUUGACAUUUAGUUCAGGUAAAAGCAUCUCACUCUACAUAUGCUGACUUGAAAAUCACUGUUAUGUCUAAAAUUGUUUUAUACCCUCUUAUUAUUUUAUUUUAGAGAUUAUCAAUUCCAUGAUUCCAUCUGAGAAAAAUAUAGCCAAUUCAUAUAGGUAAAAUGUAUCUAUAUCAGUACUUGCUGUUAGUUGCAUGUGCCUAAGCAGAAUCUGUCUUUGGCAAACAAACAAUCUGUCUUGAUGGCCUAACUCAGAUUUAGUUUGUCAUUUUCACUGUUUUUCUUUGCUUGAGAGCUGUUAUCAAGUCUUGUUUAAGUGAUUUUGUCUUACAAGGAAGGUUCAUGUUAUAUUAUAAACUGAGGUUGGUGACAGAAAUGUUACAUUUUUUUUUGUUUUCCCCAUGCUUGGCACAUGCAAGUCUGCUCAUAGAACGUUAACCACUCAUUUUCAUGUCUUAAUCAAAUUGCUUAAUCUAAUACACAAAGGAAGACUAAUACUGCAGUGCCAUUGGCUAGGUUCUUGUUUCAGCUUUCAAGAUGGACAAUCAAUGGCAUAUUGGUCAUUUUGCCUGAACAUCAACUUUGAGAAGGAUAAAGAAUUGCAUUAAUACCAUACAUAGCUUUCUUCUCUGUGCAUGCACGUAACUUUCCAUAUCCACAAGGUACAAAAGUAGAAAGUAAAUUACACACAAUACUCCUAUUUAUCUUCUUGCUACAAAGUAAUGGGUAAAAACUUUUUGUUGGGGGGGUGAAAUGGAAUGCUUUUCAAAAGAAUUUUGAAAUGGUCUAUGUCUAUUUAAAGGAAAGGGGAAAUUGG
rnacentral:lncRNA from 1 species